rnacentral:sRNA from 1 species
UUAUAUUUAAAACUAGUAUAGCCGCGCGGCUAUACUCAGUUUUGAAAUUUUUUUUGAAAAGACAUGUGUCGACACGUGCCACCUAUUGGUUGGGAGAAAUUUUUAUAUAUGGAAAAAAAAGUAGAGCCGCGCGGCUGUACUCAGUUUUGAAAUUUUAAUUUUUUAAUAUUUAAAAAAGUAUAGCCGCGCGGCUAUACUCAGUUU